ensembl:antisense Gm15969 predicted gene 15969
UAUUGGCACUGCUCAACCUGGCCCUCAGGAUCCUAGAGGACCAUCUGAAGUCUCUUGGGAAGCCUGUAGGCUAACAAGGACACACUGUGCGCCGCUUCCCAACCACCGAGAGAGAAGCAGCAACAUGAGCCCUCUACAGUAACAACUCCUCCAUCCACCUCAUUUGACCAAGAGAUCUACGGGACGGAACUACUGUUCAGCACAGUGUCUGUCCAAUAAAUAUUUACUGAAAUGAA